GGGACAUUUAGGGAUUUUUUUUUUCGAAACCCCGUGGCAACACUGUUUUGAGUGUUAUUGUUGAUGUUUUUUCUGUUGUUGAUCACCUACCAUCCCGCUCUAAGGACUGACGUGCUCGGAGGCCGCUACCACCCUCUGAAGUCUCUUGAAUUCUGCGUCAGAAGCUGACUGAAUCGUCAAAUUUCCUCGUGUUUUGAUAAGAUACUUCAAAUCCAAGUCUUUCGCAUUGACCUCUGCAGAAGCUGGCUUCAGCGAGCCCGGAAUAGCUGUUUUAAAUAUACGCGGACACGAAGGCAAUCCGAAUCCGAAACGAUCCAGAAAAGAGCCGAGAAGUGCCUGCAAGUUCCUGCGGGCGAGAAGAAUCGCAACGGCGCUGAACCUAGCAUUGUGGCUACAAGAUCACAGCCAACGGAUUUAAGUCCCCUGCCAAUUGAUUAAAUACCCUGAGAGGAUUAAGAUAAAGUUAAUGUAAAAACUCCAGAAAGUUAGUGGAAUUACAUGUUGCUAAAAUAUUUUAAAAAACAAAAACAAAAAAAAUACAGCAAGUACAAUUUUGUUGAGAAAGACCAAA